AUGGCACAGGCUAUGAAAAUAAUGUAUCUUUGCAGAAUGCACCUUGGAUGGUGGAGAAGGAAACUGGAGAAGAAGAAACAUCGCUCAGAGCAUGGAGGUGAGGCCUCCCACCAAUGCCAUCUCGGCCCCGUCUCAUCUCUGUCACUCGAGCGGUGGUUCCAGCAUUUGAAACAUCAGGGUGAGGAGGGGGCCGACGGCAGGCGGACAGCGGAACUCAGGGUUGUGACUAAGUUACUCGACGGAAGGACCUUGAAAACCCGAGGGCAACGUGCGCUCACUGGGGACUCGAGCAGGAAAGCCAGUCCCUUGCGGCUCCCAAAGAGAGGUGAGCUCCAGGGUGACCGUCAGGUGUCCAAGCCUCUGGCGUGGGGCUGCUGCCACGGCCCUGCUCAGGAAAACCUGGGAUCCCGAUGGUGGAGCUGGUACGGCUGGAUGGACACCCCCGGGAUGCUGAGUUCCAGCCUGAGUCUGACGGUCGCUCUGAGCCUGCGUGGGAGCAGACCCCCUCCCUGUGAGGAGCUGGGUCCUUUCCUGACUUCCAAGCCUGCUGCAAGCCUGGCAUCACCGCAUGACCCAGCCUGCAACCUCCUUACGGAGGGGAGGGCGAGUCACACAGGGACAGACGGUGAGGACAGGAGCCCUGAGUGUCAGCAGUGGGAGGGCGACACCCACGCGGCUGGCGGUGCCGGGGCGCAGGGGCUCGCCAGGCCUCGAGGGCCGAUGGGACGCGCGCUGCCAACCGGGCUGGCGGUUUCCAUUUCCCAAAAACCCCUCAUGGUGCUGCGCUAGGUUCUGGCCCACAGCAAAGCGAUCUAGGUAAAUGCCUUCUUUUUGCAUUCUUCCCCAUUACAGGCUAUGGCAAGAUACUGCAUAGAGUUCCCUGUGCUGUCCAGCAGGCCCCUGCUUUCUGCGUGUUUUAUGCACACGAGUGCGUAUCUGCUGAUCCCAAGCUCCUGCUGCACCCCGCUCCCCUCCUGGCCCCCGUGGUAGCCGCAGUCUCCGUUUCUCUGUCUGUGGGUCUAUUUCCGUCUGUAUCAGUCUGUAGAUUCUACACAUAAUUGAUGUCAUAGACUAUUUCUCUCUCUGUGUGACUUACUUCCUUAGUGUGAUAACCUCCAGGCCCAUCCAUGUUGCUGCAAAUGCCACUGUUUCAUUUUUUUAUAGCUGAGUAAUAUUCCACUGUGUGUGCACGUGUGCGUGUGUGUGUGUGUGUGUUAGUCGCUCAGCUGUGUGCGACUCUUUGCGACCCAUGGACGCAGCCUUCCAGGUUUCUCUGUGCGUGGAAUUCUCCAGGCAAGAAUACUGGCGUGGGCUGCCAUUCUCGUGAUAUAUAUACACAUCACGUCUUCGCUAUCCACUCAUUUGUUGGUAGACAUUUCGGUGCUUCCACGUCUCGGCUAUUGUAGACUGUGCUGCUGUGAACAUAGGGAUGCGUGUAUCUUUCCAAAUUGUGGUUUUGCGCAGACAUAUGCCCAGGAGUGGGGCUGCUAGGUCCUUGCUGUUGCUGUGCAGUCUCUCAGCCGUGUCCAGCUCUUUGUGACCCCAGGGACUGCAGCACGCCAGACUUCCCUGACCUUCACUAUCUCCCGGAGUUUGCUUAAACUCAUGUCCAUCGAGUUGGUGAUGUUAUCUAACCAUCUCAUCCUCUGCACCCCCUUCUUUGGCCUUCAAUCUUUCCUGGCAUCAAAGUCUUUUCCUAUGAGCUGGCUCUUCACGUCAGGUGGCUCAAGUAUUGGAGUUUCAGCUUCAGCAUCAGUCCUUCUAAUGAAUAUUCAGGGCUGAUUUCCUUUAGGAUUGACUGGUUUAAUCCCCUUGCUGUUCAAGGGACUCUCAAGUUUUCUCCAACACCACAAUUCAAAAGCAUCAAUUCUUUGUGCUUGGCCUUCUUGAUAGUCCAACUCUCACAUCCAUACAUGACUACUGGAGAAACCAUGAUUUUGACUGUUUAGACCUUUGUGGGCAAAAUGAUAUCUCUGCUUUUAAUAUGCUUUCUAAAUCUUUCUUAGCUUUUCUUCCAAGGAGCAAGCGUCUUUUAAUUUCAUGACAGCACUUGCUGUCGGCAGUGACUUUGGAGCCCAAGGAAGCACAGUCCGCCCCUAACCUUCCUUACUGGACCUUUCAGAGGGCCCUCGUAGAUCCAGUCGUUGGGAUUGCUAACUGUCAAGUGUCUCAAUGUCAUUUAUAAAUUCGGAGACCGUGAAAAGGACCACUGCGUGGGUCUGUGAGCCCAGUAGACCAGUGUGGCUGGAUGUUGACCUGACUCUAUUUCUUGACCCCGUGGGUCUCCUCGUUAAUAGGGACCCAUGGCAGCUCUUCAAGAUCGGGGUAUCGGUGAUCUCUAUUUAACACCCCCACAAGCACACAGCCACUUGAGUGAAUGGCCUUGGUUACUUCAGGGGAACAGUCGAGAGACCCCAACAGCAGUGCUUACCAUGAUGUGUGAGGCCUUCCUCUCUCCAAGCAGCAGGUUCUGGGUCUGAACACAAAUGCAAGCGCGGCGGCAGGGCCGUGGCUGGGCUCUGCCGUGGGGCCGUCCUACCUUCGGCCUCUUUCACGUCCAUCCCUGAUCCCUUUCGAGAGCAGCUCCACCGAGAUACAGGCCACCUGUGGACAUUUGCAACUCACAGCCUGACAGCUUUGACACAUAUCAAACUCACACACGCAUGGUGGGUAAACUGCAGCCACAGCCGGGUGGCACGCACACCCGUGGCGCCCAAGGUGUCCUCCUGCCCCUCCCCUACCUGCCCCCUGCAAACGCUUGCUGUCGUGCUCUCCAGAGCCUUCUGUCCUUGGAACCAGGCAGGGAGCCCCCUCGUGUUCCUUUGGCUUCUUGCCUUCCGCACUGCCCCUGCCUAUCCUGGGCUUCCCUGGUGGUUCAGCUGGUAAGGAGUCCGCCUGCAACGCGGGAGGCCUGGGUUCCAUCCCUGAGCUGGGCGGAUCCCCUGGAGAAGGGAAAGGCUGCCCACUCCACUAUUUUGGCCUGGAGAAUCCCACGCACUGUAUAGUCCGUGGGGUUCCAAAGAGUCGGACACGACAGAGCGACUUUCCCUGAGACUGCUACCGCCUUCCUGAGCACCAGCUCCCCCAUUCCUUCUCGCCGCCCAGCGGACUCUGUCGCUUAGAGUCGCCCCUGCUCACUUUCAUCUGGUUUUCUGCGGAUGGGCAUUUCAGCUGUUUCCAGUCUGGGAUUGUUGCAAAUAAAGGCCUCAUGAGUGCCCGCUCGCAAGUCUUCAUGUGGGCGUGCUUUCUUCCUCUUGGGUAAACGCUGAGGCGGAGAGUGGCUGGGCUGUAUAUGGGAGGCGGGGGUGGCUGGG
rnacentral:lncRNA from 1 species